rnacentral:rRNA from 1 species
GGUCAAGCUAUUAAGGGCGUAUGGGGGAUGUCUUGGUAUCAGAAGGCGAUGAAGGGCGUGGAAGACUGCGAUAAGCCUGGGGGAGUUGUCAAACGAGCGUUGAUCCCGGGAUUCCUGAAUGACUUGCACUGAAUACAUAGGUGCAAGUGGCUAACCCAGAGAACUGAAACAUCUCAGUACCUGGAGGAAGAGAAAGAAAACUCGAUUUCGUUAGUAGCGGCGAGCGAACGCGAAAUAGCCCAAACCGUGGAGAUUUUCUCCACGGGGUUGUAGGGUCUCUCACAUGGGAGUUACAAAGCGAACUACUAGUUGAACGACAUGGAAAGGUCGGCCACAGACGGUGACAGCCCGGUAAACGAAAGUGGAUUCGCCUCCCGAGAGAUACCUGAGUAGGUUCAGGCACGUGAAACCUGGACUGAAUCUGCGGGGACC